rnacentral:snRNA from 1 species
CUAACAAGGAUUCCCUUAGUAAC